rnacentral:rRNA from 1 species
GAUGAACGCUAGCGGCAGGCCUAACACAUACAAGUCGAGGGAGAAGCCCUUUCGGGGGCAGAAACCGGCGCACGGGUGCGUAACGCGUAUGCAACCUACCUUUCACAGGGGGAUAGCCCGAAGAAAUUUGGAUUAAUACCCCAUAAUAUUAUUGGAUGGCAUCAUUUGAUAAUUAAAACUGCGGUGGUGAAAGAUGGGCAUGCGUCCUAUUAGCUAGUUGGAGUGGUAACGGCACCCCAAGGCUACGAUAGGUAGGGGUCCUGAGAGGGAGAUCCCCCACACUGGUACUGAGACAGGGACCAGACUCCUACGGGAGGCAGCAGUGAGGAAUAUUGGUCAAUGGUCGGAAGACUGAACCAGCCAUGCCGCGUGCAGGAAGAAUGCCUUAUGGGUUGUAAACUGCUUUUAUAUGGGAAGAAUAAGGCGUACGUGUACGUUGAUGACGGUACCAUAUGAAUAAGCAUCGGCUAGCUCCGUG